rnacentral:lncRNA from 1 species
UAUACACUUCCAUAUAAAUUUCCAUGCUAUUUAUGUGUUGUUGUUGUUGUGGCAUGAAGCAUGUGUGAUAAUGGAAAUAUGAAUUAUAUACACGAAAUGUAUCCAUGCUCUCCCUACCAUGUUGAGAUGUGAAUAAAUACAUGAAGUAUACUAUCCCCUACUUAUAAUAUUGUGAAUUGUGGACUCUAAUCUUGUGAUCAAGUCAUGUCAUGUGUGCCAGUUUCCUUCUAUCGAGUCCU